ACGUGGUUCCCCCUCCCGCCCUGCCCGUCCCUGAGGCGGGACCGGCGUGAGGGGAGGGAAGAACAAUUCUAAGGAAAUAAGGGAUAAAGAGGCGGUUCCGCUGCUCCAGUGAGAGUCAGAGCAGAGUGCAGUGCUACCGGGGAGGUGCCUGACGCGCCGCCGCUCCCUGGUACCUGCAGAGCUGCAGAUGUGCCUCCUCUGCUUUGGAACCACCACAGCCAAGAUGCAACUCAAUUGCCAGAAAUUAAUAAAUAGCAUUAAAAGAAUAGACAGAAUUAAAACCAAGCAUGUAAUUUAGCACUGAUUCCCCUUGGGGGACAAGCCAGAGCACUUAAGCUCCACAGAUACCACAGGAAUGAUGGAAAAAGGAACACGGAUGUGUGGGAAGCUCAGUGGAGAGCAAACUGAACCUAAAAUACAGCUGGUAAGGAAUGAAAGUGCAGAUGCUACACAAGGACGUUAAACAGGCACUUGUUGCUUUAAGUGACUUCAUUUCUUUAUGUAGUUAAAGCAAAAAUGUUCAUUUCUGGUCCUUAACUUUCCUUUUGCACCUGAAAGGGAAGUUUCCUGUUGUUUUUCCAUGUGAGAUUAAAAACACACCACAUUUACAUACCUGUGGGAUUCAGGAAACCAUUCCUUCAAAAGCAAGGUGCUGAGGGAUCACUUCUACAUCCAAGCCAAAGGGUCCAAGGCACGGCAGAAGUGGCUCAACUUCUCCACUUCCACGAUUCAAAAAACCCCUCAACACCCCCACCCACACCUGAGGACCAUUUCCUAGACAUCAAAACUCAAAGUAGGGCCCAAAUAAUUUGGUGUCCUUCGAUAUUUUAGGUAAAACUGAAUCUACAGGUGGAAGGGAUCACCUUGGAAUCACCCGAGGCCAAAAGCCAAACUCAAUAUCCAACCUGGAGCUGGAAUCACUGUCUUCAGUCUCAGGCAUUAAAUUCACUCCACAGGAUUUCCCAUCACACAGAGGACACUCAGCCAUCCUCACAAAGAGGCAGAACUGUUUAUUAUUAACAAGACAUACCAUGAAGACCCCACUGUAUCAUCUACAGAUAUAAAACCUCGGGAAGGUGGAUUUCCCAUGUAUCCAAAUUACAAAUGGAAAAAAA